rnacentral:rRNA from 1 species
AACGAACGCUGGCGGCAGGCUUAACACAUGCAAGUCGAACGGUUGUAGCAAUACAGCAGUGGCAGACGGGUGAGUAACACGUGGGAACCUUCCUAGGGGUACGGAACAACUCAGGGAAACUUGAGCUAAUAACGUAUACGUCCGUGAGGAGAAAGAUUUAUCGCCCUUAGACGGGCCCGCGUCGGAUUAGCUAGUUGGUGGGGUAACGGCCAACCAAGGCGACGAUCCGUAGCUGAUCUUAGAGGAUGAUCAGCCACACUGGGACUGAGACACGGCCCAGACUCCUACGGGAGGCAGCAGUGGGGAAUCUUGGACAAUGGGCGCAAGCCUGAUCCAGCCAUGCCGCGUGAGUGAAGAAGGUCUUCGGAUUGUAAAGCUCUUUUGCCAGGGACGAUAAUGACGGUACCUGGAGAAUAAGCCCCGGCAAACUUCGUGCCAGCAGCCGCCGUAA